AUUAAAGUGGCAGAAUAGUGCCUUAGAUUUAAGCUCUAAAUAUAGAUUGAUAUCUCUUUAAUA
rnacentral:tRNA from 1 species